CAAUGAGCACCUGAAAUGGGGGCGGUCCUAUGGGAUUAAACCCUUAACCUGAGGGGUCUGAUGCUAACUGUAGGUAGAUAAUGUCAGGAUUGAAUUGAAUUAUAGGAUAUAAUCAACGUCCACUGAAAAUUGGAGAAUUGGUUGGUGUGUGGAAAGGCCAUGUGGAGACAUCUUGAGAAAGUGGCCAUCUAGAAGCCAGGAAGAGGCCUCACCAACCCUGACAGCACCUUGACCUUGGACAGUACCCUCCAGACUGUGAAAACAUAAAUUUCUGUUAAUAGCCAGUUACUACUCUGCAGUUAUUUUGUUAUGGCCACCUGAGAAGACUAACACAAUAUCCAAUUCUCCCAAUUUAAAAACAAGAAAACUAAUGCUCAUUCCUGGAAGUGGAGCUGCUAUCCAGUAGCCCAAAUGUGGUGCAUCAUAUGUCCAGAUUAAAUGAUUGUUAUGUUCCUUGACCAUUCCCCGACCAUGAUUUACCCAAGCACCUAAAAAGCUUGCCCCAUGUGAUGGCCAAGUCUGCUUCUUGGAACCAAGGAAUGCCCUCAGGCAGUCACAGAUGUGUGCAGCAGGAAAAGCAGAUUCAUAAAGUGGAAUACUGGGUCAAAGUUUAUGAAGAUUUUGAAGACUUUGACACAUACAUUUCAAAAAUUGUUAUCCAGGUAAUUUUGCCAGUUUGUAUUUCUACCAAGAAUGUUUGAGAAUGCUGAUC